GGCAAGCUACGAUUACGGUUAAAAUAAUUUUCUAUCGCGUGGUUUCGUCACAAUACGCGUGCACGCCGCGAUAACUCCGCGAUAAAUCGAGUUCUUGAAACCAGCUGUGCCCUUGCUCCACCAACUUCCGUGUUAACAUUUACUCUACACCACGAGUGAGCGUGUAGCAGAUGCACGAAAUCACGCGGUUCGAGAUCUUUUUUCACUCUGUUAAUCGAAUGAUCAAGAUCAAACCCCGACGAACGAAUAAAGGAUGACGUUUCCUCGAAGAGAACGAAAGGAGGGGUGGUCCGCCCUUGUUUCUCUUAGCUUUGCCGCUCAUCCACUCGAAUUAUUUUACUGAUCGACGGAUAAAAAGGGGUGUGCGCAUUAAACUUUGGAUGGUUUGUGAAUUUCGUGGGACUAGCUGUCAUAACGGCAGGCGAUCGGUCAGAUGUCACGACCUUCUCAUUAACCCCAAGAGGCUGCUUGAAAGAUAGAAAGAGAGAAGUUCGAGUGGUUCGCUUGACCACAAACCUCUUGAGGAAGAUCGAGGAAGGCGAGUCUAAAUUUGGAACGCCCACCCUCUGCUGCUGAGGAUCGAUCCUGGGAUACACCUGCACCCGACGAGGUGAUCCGACAGGAAGGAAACAUCGUACCCCUAGAAUCUUGAAAUCUUCGUUUCCGCUGGUUAAAAUCUUCGUAGUAGUGGUCUCACGGGGAACCAGGCUAAUCGAUUUUCUUUCUCGGCUCGAUUGCCACACCGGUUGCCUUCAAAUUAAUUUAGUCUCGCACGAUUAAUCUUGCGGGCGUAUUAUUUACGAUCGUCUUACGGUGUAAAUUGGGUAUAAAGGGUGUGAAAGUAUCGAGAUGUUAAGCGUAUGGAGAUUGGGUGAAACCGAGAAUUGCGAAAAAAGGGGGGGCUUUUUGAGGGUGUAGAGUUUCGUAGUGUGAGAAAGGAUGUUAAGAUGAGAAAAUUGUAAAGAAUAGUGUGAAUCUUACGCUGUAAAAAAAUAUUGAGCGAAUAAAAAUAAGUGAGUAA